AGAGAUGUGUGAUGACGCAUAUCAAUAAGCGGAGGAAAAGAAACAGGAGGAAGAAUUGGCGAAGCAGAGGGCUGCCAAUGAAGCGUGGUAUCAAAGGAAUUAUUAUCAGGAUUACCUGAAUACUGUUGAGGCACAGAAUGCGCUUAAACGAGUGAGGAAUGCUUGGGAUGAGUAUACCCGAGAGGAGAGGGCGCGACAGGCGAUAACGGGUGGAACGCCUGAACAGGCUCAAGCGGUGGCGGAGGCCGGAGGGAAGGCUAUGGGUGAGACGGUUGGUAACUUGGCUGCACAGGGGCAGCAGAAUAAGGCCGCUAUUGAUGCGCAGAAGUUGGCGAUGGACACUAACCUUAGUCAGCAGGCGGCACAGAUUGCAGAGAACAAGCAGGCGGCAGCACAGGAGCUGAUAUCCGGCGGCGCGAGUCUUAUCACAAGUGGGUUGCAAGGCAUCGAGUGGGGUGGGGAAAGAUGCAGCGCAGAACACAGCUGAUGCGACAAAAGGGGCGCAGAAAGCAGCUGAGAGUUUAAAGGUGCCGGUUAAUGUUUCCAAAGGAGAAGAAGAGAGAAAAUAUCACAGAGCAGAAAGAUAAUAUGAGCGCAUACGAUAUGAUGAAUGAAAAGAAGAGGCCUGUGUAUCCUACGCUUGACGAGGGUACCUACGCUUAGGAUGUUGAAGAUGUAGCACAUCAU
rnacentral:rRNA from 1 species